UACGUAGGUGGCAAGCGUUGUCCGGAAUUAUUGGGCGUAAAGCGCGCGCAGGCGGCCUUUUAAGUCUGAUGUGAAAGCCCCCGGCUCAACCGGGGAGGGUCAUUGGAAACUGGAAGGCUUGAGUACAGAAGAGAAGAGUGGAAUUCCAUGUGUAGCGGUGAAAUGCGUAGAGAUGUGGAGGAACACCAGUGGCGAAGGCGACUCUUUGGUCUGUAACUGACGCUGAGGCGCGAAAGCGUGGGGAGCAAAC
rnacentral:rRNA from 1 species